AUUGAACGCUGGCGGCAGGCUUAACACAUGCAAGUCGAGCGGAGUGAUGGUGCUUGCACUAUCAUUUAGCGGCGGACGGGUGAGUAAUGCUUAGGAAUCUGCCAUUUAGUGGGGGACAACAUUACGAAAGGAAUGCUAAUACCGCAUACGUCCUACGGGAGAAAGCAGGGGAUCUUCGGACCUUGCGCUAAAUGAUGAGCCUAAGUCGGAUUAGCUAGUUGGUGGGGUAAAGGCCUACCAAGGCGACGAUCUGUAGCGGGUCUGAGAGGAUGAUCCGCCACACUGGGACUGAGACACGGCCCAGACUCCUACGGGAGGCAGCAGUGGGGAAUAUUGGACAAUGGGCGGAAGCCUGAUCCAGCCAUGCCGCGUGUGUGAAGAAGGCCUUUUGGUUGUAAAGCACUUUAAGCGAGGAGGAGGCUCUCCUAGUUAAUACCUAGGAAGAGUGGACGUUACUCGCAGAAUAAGCACCGGCUAACUCUGUGCCAGCCGCCGCCGUAAGAC
rnacentral:rRNA from 1 species